rnacentral:rRNA from 1 species
UGGCUCAGGAUGAACGCCGGCGGUGUGCCUAAUACAUGCAAGUCGUACGCACUGGCCCAACUGAUUGAUGGUGCUUGCACCUGAUUGACGUUGGAUCACCAGUGAGUGGCGGACGGGUGAGUAACACGUAGGUAACCUGCCCCGGAGCGGGGGAUAACAUUUGGAAACAGAUGCUAAUACCGCAUAACAACAAAAGCCACAUGGCUUUUGUUUGAAAGAUGGCUUUGGCUAUCACUCUGGGAUGGACCUGCGGUGCAUUAGCUAGUUGGUAAGGUAACGGCUUACCAAGGCGAUGAUGCAUAGCCGAGUUGAGAGACUGAUCGGCCACAAUGGAACUGAGACACGGUCCAUACUCCUACGGGAGGCAGCAGUAGGGAAUCUUCCACAAUGGGCGCAAGCCUGAUGGAGCAACACCGCGUGAGUGAAGAAGGGUUUCGGCUCGUAAAGCUCUGUUGUUGGAGAAGAACGUGCGUGAGAGUAACUGUUCACGCAGUGACGGUAUCCAACCAGAAAGUCACGGCUAACUACGUGCCAGCAGCCGCGGUAAUACGUAGGUGGCAAGCGUUAUCCGGAUUUAUUGGGCGUAAAGCGAGCGCAGGCGGUUGCUUAGGUCUGAUGUGAAAGCCUUCGGCUUAACCGAAGAAGUGCAUCGGAAACCGGGCGACUUGAGUGCAGAAGAGGACAGUGGAACUCCAUGUGUAGCGGUGGAAUGCGUAGAUAUAUGGAAGAACACCAGUGGCGAAGGCGGCUGUCUGGUCUGCAACUGACGCUGAGGCUCGAAAGCAUGGGUAGCGAACAGGAUUAGAUACCCUGGUAGUCCAUGCCGUAAACGAUGAGUGCUAGGUGUUGGAGGGUUUCCGCCCUUCAGUGCCGGAGCUAACGCAUUAAGCACUCCGCCUGGGGAGUACGACCGCAAGGUUGAAACUCAAAGGAAUUGACGGGGGCCCGCACAAGCGGUGGAGCAUGUGGUUUAAUUCGAAGCUACGCGAAGAACCUUACCAGGUCUUGACAUCUUGCGCUAACCUUAGAGAUAAGGCGUUCCCUUCGGGGACGCAAUGACAGGUGGUGCAUGGUCGUCGUCAGCUCGUGUCGUGAGAUGUUGGGUUAAGUCCCGCAACGAGCGCAACCCUUGUUACUAGUUGCCAGCAUUAAGUUGGGCACUCUAGUGAGACUGCCGGUGACAAACCGGAGGAAGGUGGGGAUGACGUCAAGUCAUCAUGCCCCUUAUGACCUGGGCUACACACGUGCUACAAUGGACGGUACAACGAGAAGCGAACCUGCGAAGGCAAGCGGAUCUCUUAAAGCUGUUCUCAGUUCGGACUGUAGGCUGCAACUCGCCUACACGAAGCUGGAAUCGCUAGUAAUCGCGGAUCAGCACGCCGCGGUGAAUACGUUCCCGGGCCUUGCACACACCGCCCGUCA